rnacentral:rRNA from 1 species
UACGAAGGGGGCUAGCGUUGCUCGGAUUGACUGGGCGUAAAGGGCGCGUAGGCGGUUCGUACAGUCAGACGUGAAAUUCCUGGGCUCAACCUGGGGGCUGCGUUUGAUACGUGCGGACUGGAGUGCAGUAGAGGAGAGUGGAAUUCCUGGUGUAGCGGUGAAAUGCGCAGAUAUCAGGAGGAACACCGGUGGCGAAGGCGGUUCUCUGGGCAUUACCUGACGCUGAGGAGCGAAAGUGUGGGGAGCGAACAGG